CAAGGGAUCAGAGGCAUCCAGCUGUGUGACAUCUAACAAGGGUAAGUGCUGGAUGCUGUACCUGGGUCACCACAACCCUGUGCAGCAGUAUGGGCUUGGGGAAGAGAGGCUGGAAAGCUGCCUGGCAGAAAAGGACCUGGGGGUGCUGGUUGAUAGCUGACUGAACACAAGCAAUUGGUGUGCCUAGGUGUGUAAGAAGGCCGAUGGCAUCCAGGCCUCCAUCAGAACUACUGUGGCCAGCAGGAUCAGGGAGGUGAUCAUCCCC